CACCCACCCUCCCUCUCUGCUGCCCCCACCGCCUUCUCCUGUCAUGGCAAAGGAAAUCACGCAAUAAACUAGCGGCGAAAACAAAACUUUAACUACUUUUUCCGCUGGCCGCAGAAACUCGGAUGGGGAAAAACUUUUUUGAAACAAUACAAUUUAUAUUUAUGCGCAGAGGCGACGACGAUGACAACGGAGGCAGGACCUGAGCAUGAAAAGCUAACCCAGAAAGCGGUAGGCAAAAGAAAAUUCGGUUGCCUCCCCAAGCCAAAGAGCAAGCUCAGGCCCGAGCUCCAGUUUCCAGUUUCCAGUAGGCGAGUGUAUUUUAAGUGAGGAAAAUAACUUGACCGACUUUCAUGUGGUUGCCCCAUAGCUGGUGUUUAUAACUGCCCCACCACCCGCCUGCCCCCCGCUCUGCAUCUCCAGACAUCCGACCGACACAAACUUGUCCAUGUCUAUUUCGGGGCUUAGUCGGACUUUGCUCUGAAACUAUUGGCCCCAAAAACUUUAUAACAAAUUAAUUGCAUUUUAAGGGCAUGCAAAAAGCAGGGAAGCGAGAAUAUUUCGCCAAAAUUGGAUCCAGUUCUCGACUGUGAUUCGGCGGUAGCUAGAUAUUCUUGGGGAUUAUGUCGAAAAUCAUUUAUCAUCCGCCAGCUAAAGUACAGUGCCGUCAGAAGGUAAAUUGCAGUAUCAGCAACUGCUGACUGGGCAAUAUUUCGGUAUGGUACGGGACUGGGUUGGGGACAGAAAUUUCAUAAUUUUCAUUACGGCUUAUGGCUGCCAAAGGGUUAAUUAAA
rnacentral:sRNA from 1 species